rnacentral:rRNA from 1 species
UGGAGGAUCUUGCACAAUGGGCGCAAGCCUGAUGCAGCCACGCCGCGUGCGGGAAGAAGGCCUUCGGGUCGUAAACCGCUUUCAGCAGGGACGAAGCGAGAGUGACGGUACCUGCAGAAGAAGGACCGGCCAACUACGUGCCAGCAGCCGCGGUAAUACGUAGGGUCCGAGCGUUGUCCGGAAUCAUUGGGCGUAAAGCGCAUGUAGGCGGCCCUUUAAGUCGGAUGUGAAAUCCCAGGGCUCAACCCUGGAACUGCAUCCGAUACUGGAGGGCUUGAGGAAGGUAGAGGAGAGUGGAAUUCCCGGUGUAGCGGUGGAAUGCGCAGAUAUCGGGAGGAACACCAGCGGCGAAGGCGGCUCUCUGGGCCUCUCCUGACGCUGAGAUGCGAAAGCGUGGGUAGCGAACAGGAUUAGAUACCCGGGUAGUCC